rnacentral:misc_RNA from 1 species
GCCUGUCAUUUUCGACAUCAAAGACUGAAACCAUCUUAUCUGAAGCGGCAGCCAACAAACGCCCAGUCAUUGGUUGAAACCUCACUUGUGCGCUUCCUCCUUGCUUGGACACCCGAGUACAAGAAAAUGGACUAAUACUCCAGUAGCGAAUUUCAUUGUUGCUAUCGCAGAAACAGAAUAGGUCGUUCUUUUUAGGAUGAAAAUCCAACGACAUAACAUGAUAACUAUGCCCCGUGUAAGCAUGCAAACAAUAGCUAGGAUUGCUUGCGUCCCAUAAUCUCACAGACUUGUCAAAUGAAGCAGUUGCAAGUUGAGAAGAAUUAGGCCGGAAGCGGAUAUCUGUAAUCAAGUACUGAUGUUCCUCAGGCGUGGUCUCUGUUUGUAGAGUAUCCAUGUUCCAAAGAACAGCCUUCUUGUCAUGUCCAGCACUAGCAAGUAACUUCCCAUCUGAUGAGAAAUGACAGCAAGUCACUUUAUUUCUCGUGCGUAUACAACCAACUUCACCAAAGGAGAAACCUUUUGAGGUUUCAGGCUUGUGCUCAGUAAGAGUUUGCUUCAAUGAUCCAUAGAUGUUUCCAUCUCCUCCGUCUUGUGACAGAAAUGAUUCCACAUUAUCAAUGUCUCCAAAAGGCUCUAAGUCAUCCAGCUGAUUUGUAGAG